UACAGAGGUCUCAAGCGUUGUUCGGAUUCAUUGGGCGUAAAGGGCGCGUAGGCUGCGGGGUAAGUCGGGUGUGAAAUCUCAGGGCUCAACCCUGAAACUGCACUCGAUACUGCUCUGCUUGAGGACUGGAGAGGAGACUGGAAUUCACGGUGUAGCAGUGAAAUGCGUAGAUAUCGUGAGGAAGACCAGUGGCGAAGGCGGGUCUCUGGACAGUUCCUGACGCUGAGGCACGAAGGCCAGGGGAGCAAACGGG
rnacentral:rRNA from 1 species